rnacentral:rRNA from 1 species
UGGGGAAUUUUGCGCAAUGGGGGAAACCCUGACGCAGCAACGCCGCGUGGAGGAUGAAGUCCCUUGGGAUGUAAACUCCUUUCGAUCGGGAAGGGCUGCCGGGUGAAUACUCCGGCAGAGUGACGGUACCGAGAGAAGAAGCCCCGGCUAACUCC